AUUUGAACCAGACUCUGAUGUUAAUGCA
rnacentral:piRNA from 1 species